rnacentral:lncRNA from 1 species
CUACUAGCGCUACAGUAACAAGUUGGAUUGUAGACUAGUCUAGUAGGCCUAGGUCCAGGCAUAUUAAUAUUAAAAUUAGGUCUAGAUCUAUUACUCAGUAGACUAUUAGGGUCACUAAGCCUUAGGCUCCCUAUAUUAUUUUUUUUUUUCUUAAUUUCAUUUUUCUUUUAAGAGUCAGACUCAAAGAUGGAGUGGACCUCAAGACUCAAAAGUUCUCUUCUGCCGUGUCUCUACUCUCUACAGUCUUGGACUUCUCAUUCUACUACUAAUUUCUACCUCGGCCUCUGGCUCAAUAAGGAAAGGGUUUGGAUAUGCAGAAUGUACUCAAACUCAAUGUCUAGGUGUACAGCUAUAGACUCUAGACUAGAUCCUACUGUGCUAAGCGGCCCUGUGAAGUGAUCUUUUUACUAGUAAAAAUUGCACACCAAUAUUUAAACAAGUGAAAGGUUGCAAAAUAAAGAGCUAUGGCAUCUUCAUGUACUGCUAGUUCAUGACAUAUGGACUUUAUUGUCCAUCUCUUCAAAUUGAAAAGACUGCAGAGCCUGAAUUACCUGCAACGUUAUGCUUCCUAUGAAACAUCAGCCAGCCCACAGAUAGAAGCUCCCUUUUCCAGCUUUAAGCAAGAGAGACCACAAUGAGAUACAGAUCUUGGUAUCAUGGACUGGUCACUUUUACAACCAACACUACUUGUAAAAUAAGAUUUACAAAUUAAUUCCUAAGCUAUUUCAAAGCUGAUAGAAAAGAAUUGAUGAUUAAUUUCAUAUAGACAAACUAUUGUAUCAAGAAAAUCACAUUCUCACCGACUGCGUGACCUAGCUAGAUGACAAUGUAUAUCAUCCAUAGAUUAACAAACAUAUGAGUAACAGAAAUAUUUGUGACAAGUAUUACUCUUUUAAUCUCCUUAAAAGUAACUCGAAUAUAGAGUGGCAGAUAUCAGCUGCAGUAGUUUUAACAACUGGCUGAUACUUUCAUAGUAGCACUUUCAUUUGUGUCUUUUAAAAUGUUCUUAUUGUAUCCCUUGAAUGUAUUUGCUAUGCUCAUCAUUUACAAAACGUAGAUUUCAUUCAUUAAAGCAUAAGCAUAUUGAUUAGACAUUAAAA